UAACGGCGAGUGAAGCGGCAACAGCUCAAAUUUGAAAUCUGGCGUCUUUGGCGUCCGAGUUGUAAUUUGCAGAGGGCGCUUUGGCAUUGGCAGCGGUCCAAGUUCCUUGGAACAGGACGUCACAGAGGGUGAGAAUCCCGUACGUGGUCGCUAGCCUUUACCGUGUAAAGCCCCUUCGACGAGUCGAGUUGUUUGGGAAUGCAGCUCUAAAUGGGAGGUAAAUUUCUUCUAAAGCUAAAUACUGGCCAGAGACCGAUAGCGCACAAGUAGAGUGAUCGAAAGAUGAAAAGCACUUUGGAAAGAGAGUUAAAAAGCACGUGAAAUUGUUGAAAGGGAAGCGCUUGCAGCCAGACUUGCCUGUAGUUGCUCAUCCGGGUUUCUACCCGGUGCACUCUUCUACGGGCAGGCCAGCAUCAGUUUGGGCGGUUGGAUAAAGGUCUCUGUCAUGUACCUCCCUUCGGGGAGAUCUUAUAGGGGAGACGACAUGCAACCAGCCUGGACUGAGGUCCGCGCAUCUGCUAGGAUGCUGGCGUAAUGGCUGUAAGCGGCCCGUCUUGAAACACGGACCAAGGAGUCUAACAUCUAUGCGAGUGUUUGGGUGUCAAGCCCGAGCGCGUAAUGAAAGUGAACGGAGGUGGGAACCUUUCGGGGUGCACCAUCGACCGAUCCUGAUGUCUUCGGAUGGAUUUGAGUAAGAGCAUAGCUGUUGGGACCCGAAAGAUGGUGAACUAUGCUUGAAUAGGGUGAAGCCAGAGGAAACUCUGGUGGAGGCUCGCAGCGGUUCUGACGUGCAAAUCGAUCGUCAAAUUUGGGCAUAGGGGCGAAAGACUAAUCGAACUAUCUAGUAGCUGGUUCCUGCCGAAGUUUCCCUCAGGAUAGCAGUAACGUUUUCAGUUUUAUGAGGUAAAGCGAAUGAUUAGAGGCCUGGGGGUUGAAACAACCUU
rnacentral:rRNA from 1 species